rnacentral:rRNA from 1 species
UACGAAGGGGGCGAGCGUUGUUCGGAAUUACUGGGCGUAAAGGGCGCGUAGGCGGCCCCUUUUGUCGCGUGUGAAAGCCCCGGGCUCAACCUGGGAGGUGCGCGCGAAACGGGGGGGCUUGAGUUCGGGAGAGGAGAGUGGAAUUCCCAGUGUAGAGGUGAAAUUCGUAGAUAUCGGGAGGAACACCAGUGGCGAAGGCGACUUCCUGGCCUGUUCUUGACGCUGAGGCGCGAAAGCUAGGGGAGCAAACGGG